UUUAGGUUGCUUCUGUCCACU
rnacentral:miRNA from 1 species